GAGUUUGAUCAUGGCUCAGAUUGAACGCUGGCGGCAUGCUUUACACAUGCAAGUCGAACGCGAAAGGGGGGCAACCCCUGAGUAGAGUGGCGCACGGGUGAGUAAUGCAUCGGAACGUGUCUUGUAAUGGGGGAUAACUUAGCGAAAGCUAAGCUAAUACCGCAUACGUCCUACGGGAGAAAGUGGGGGAUCGUAAGACCUCACGUUAUAGGAGCGGCCGAUGCCGGAUUAGCUAGUUGGUGGGGUAAAGGCCUACCAAGGCGACGAUCCGUAGCUGGUCUGAGAGGAUGAUCAGCCACACUGGGACUGAGACACGGCCCAGACUCCUACGGGAGGCAGCAGUGGGGAAUUUUGGACAAUGGGCGAAAGCCUGAUCCAGCAAUGCCGCGUGUGUGAAGAAGGCCUU
rnacentral:rRNA from 1 species